rnacentral:rRNA from 1 species
UUAGGGCACGACACCGGAGAGGGAGCCUGAGAACGGCUACCACAUCCAAGGMUGGCAGCAGGCGCGCAAAUUACCCAAUCCCGACACGGGGAGGUAGUGACAAUAAAUAACAAUACGGGGUUCUUUAGGAUCUCGUAAUUGGAAUGAGUACAAUUUAAAUCUCUUAACGAGGAACAAUUGGAGGGCAAGUCUGGGGNGCCACCACCCGCGGUAAUUCCAGCUCCAAUAGCGUAUAUUAAAGUUGUUGCAGUUAAAAAGCUCGUAGUUGAAUUUCGGGGUUAGUAGGUUGGUCAUGCCUCUGGUAUGUACUGGUCUCACUGAUUCCUCCUUCCUGAUGAGCCGUAAUGCCAUUAAUUUGGUGUUGCGGGGAAUUUGGACUGUUACUUUGAAAAAAUUAGAGUGUUUAAAGCAAGCUAACGCUUGAAUACAUUAGCAUGGAAUAAUGAAAUAGGACGUUCGAUCCUAUUUUGUUGGUUUCUAGGAUUGACGUAAUGAUUAAUAGGGGAUAGUUGGGGGGCAUU